rnacentral:lncRNA from 1 species
UAGGCCACUUCCCAGAAUAUCAGUGCCUGUGGCAUUGUGACUAGGCCCCAGUCCCCAGAGAGGUUCGGGCUGGGCUGGAUGCGGAGGUGCUGGUAGUCACACACACCCUGCCACAGGUGGGCUCCUUCUUCAUGAUCAACCUGUGCCUGGUGGUGAUAGCCACACAGUUCUCAGAGACAAAGCAAAGGGAAAACCAGCUGAUGCGAGAACAGCGGGCCCGCUAUCUGUCCAACGACAGCACUCUGGCCAGCUUCUCAGAGCCCGGCAGCUGCUACGAGGAGCUCCUCAAGUAUGUAGGCCACAUCUUCCGGAAGGUUAAACGCCGUAGCCUGCGUCUUUAUGCCCGCUGGCAGAGCCGCUGGCGUAAGAAGGUGGAUCCCAGCAGUACCGUGCAUGGCCAAGGCCCUGGGCGGCGGCCACGACGGGCAGGCAGGCGUACAGCUUCAGUGCACCAUCUGGUCUACCACCACCACCACCACCAUCACCACCAUUACCACUUUAGCCACGGUGGCCCACGCAGGCCCAGCCCAGAGCCAGGUGCUGGUGACAACAGGUUGGUCAGGGCCUGUGCGCCACCCUCGCCGCCAUCCCCAGGCCAUGGGCCACCAGACUCUGAGUCUGUGCACAGUAUCUACCAUGCUGACUGCCACGUGGAGGGGCCGCAGGAACGAGCCCGAGUGGCACACUCCAUAGCCACUGCUGCUAGCCUCAAGCUGGCCUCAGGUUUGGGUACCAUGAACUACCCCACCAUCCUACCUU